rnacentral:rRNA from 1 species
CCUACGGGAGGCUGCAGUGAGGAAUAUUGGUCAAUGGGCGCGAGCCUGAACCAGCCAAGUCGCGUGAGGGAGGAAGGCCCUACGGGUUGUAAACCUCUUUUGCCGGGGAGCAACGGGCGUCACGUGUGGCGCCACUGAGAGUACCCGGAGAAAAAGCAUCCGCAAACUUCGUGCCAGCAGCCGCGGUAAUACGGGGGAUGCGAGCGGUAUCCGGAUUUAUUGGGGUUAAAGGGUGCGUAGGCGGAUCGUUAAGUCAGCGGUCAAAUUGAGGGGCUCAACCCCUUCCCGCCAUUGAAACUGGCGCUCUUGAGUGGAAGAGAAGUAUGCGGAAUGCGUGGUGUAGCGGUGAAAUGCAUAGAUAUCACGCAGAACUCCGAUUGCGAAGGCAGCAUACCGGCGCGCAACUGACGCUCAUGCACGAAAGCGUGGGUAUCGAACAGGAUUAGAUACCCGUGUAGUC